UACAGAGGUCUCAAGCGUUUGUUCGGAUUCAUUGGGCGUAAAGGGUGCGUAGGCGGCGCGGUAAGUCGGGUGUGAAAUCUUGGAGCUUAACUCCGAAACUGCAUUCGAUACUGCCGUGCUUGAGGACUGGAGAGGAGACUGGAAUUUACGGUGUAGCGGUGAAAUGCGUAGAUAUCGUAAGGAAGACCAGUGGCGAAGGCGGGUCUCUGGGCAACAACUGACGCUGAGGAGCGAAAGCGUGGGGGAGCGAAACAGGG
rnacentral:rRNA from 1 species